ACUUUCUCCUUCGAUGUAAUUACAUUACAGUGAUUACACCAUCUUUCUGUCUCGGCGAUUCUACAUGCGCCUUAUGCGCAGCUCCUGGUUUAAUAAUUUACUCAAACUCUCGGAACAAAACUAGCUCAUUCGAGAUCAAGUUAUACUCAUUCGAUCUUUUGCCUUGCUGAUACAACAGAUUGCAAUGAGGCAAAGACAGAGUUCUGCAGUUUCAUCAUCAGCAAACGCAAACAGAACCCAAAACCCAAUUCCUACAAAAUCACAACAACAAAAAAAGGAAGGUCCACAAUUCGAUCUGCUAGCCUCACCCAAGAACAUUUAUCUCUUCUGCUUGGCCUUUCGAAUGUUAAAUGCUCUGUUGGUUCAGACCUAUUUCAACCCAGAUGAGCACUGGCAAGCUCUUGAAGUUGCUCACCGCAUCACUUUUGGGUUUGGCCAUUUGACGUGGGAGUGGAAGAAGGGGAUUCGGAGCUACUUGCAUCCUUUGCUCUUUGCUUUCCUUUACAAAGUGCUUGCCUUGUUAGGUCUUGAUACCCCAUGGUUCAUGGUCAAGGCACCUCGGCUAUUCCAGUCCCUAUUCUCUGCAUUUGGUGAUUUAUACCUGUACAAAUUCUCUGUCAUCCUCUUUGGCGACCAGGUUGCAAAAUGGGCUCUUUUUUCCCAAUUGACAAAUUGGUUUAUGUUUUUCUGUCUCACUCGUACAUUAUCGAAUAGUCUGGAGACUGUUCUUACCAUUGUGAGCUUGUACUACUGGCCCUGUAUCAGGCCUUCUUCCAGCAAACUUCCGUUGGAAUCUAGAAAGUGGGGUUUGCUUAUUGCUGCAUUAGCUUGUGCUAUUCGACCAACAAGUGCCAUCAUAUGGCUUUAUGUUGGGGUCCUUGAGCUAUUUGUGUCACGCGAUAAACUCAGAUUCAUAUUUUUGGAGGUAGCUCCUAUUGGGGUCCUGGUGCUUGGGCUUACAUUUUUAAUAGAUCGAUUGAUGUACGGCUCAUGGGUCUUAGUACCUCUUAAUUUCCUAAGAUUCAAUUUUCUUUCCUCUGGUGGAGAUUAUUAUGGAACUCACAAGUGGCACUGGUACUUCACUCAGGGAUUUUCUGUCAUGGUAUUUUCUUUUUUACCAUUUUCUAUAGCUGGCAUCUUGCAGUCGAAACAAUGGAAGCUUUCUGGCCUUAUUGCAUGGGUUCUGGUACUUUAUAGUGUACUAGGCCACAAAGAAUUCAGGUUUGUUUUGCCUGUGCUUCCUAUAGCUUUGAUAUUCUCUGGAUACUCUUUAACCGCAUUAAAAACAUCAGUUUCUGGAAAUGGUCAAAGGAAGAAAUUGGCAGAUUACCAUAAUAAAUUCUCUGCAAAAAUGCUGUUGGCCAUCUUUUUCUUGCUCGCUACCAAUAUUCCAAUGGCCUUGUAUAUGAGUUUGGUUCAUCAGAGAGGAACUGAAGAUGUUACUUACUAUCUGUCCAAUGAAGUGGUCGAGGGAAAAGUAACAGACAUACUUUUUCUAAUGCCUUGCCACGCCACACCUUACUACUCUACUUUGCACCGAAACCUUCCAAUGCGAUUUCUAGACUGCACACCGAGUGAAGAGAAAGGAAUCCCAGACGAAUCAGAUCAAUUCAUGAUGGAUCCUGUAGGGUUUGCAUCAGAAUUUGCAAAAAAUUGGUCUUUACCGAGUCAUAUUGUAUUAUUUGAUUCGGAAGAAAAGAAGUUACGGGAUUUUCUAGUCUCCCAUUCUUUCAAAGAGAUACAAAGAUUUUUCCAUGCUCACUUCAAAGUGGAUCGUGAUCUUCAAGCAUCAGUCGUUGUAUAUGCUUUGACAGGCUCCUGAUUAUUGUUUAUGCACUGAUAUAAUUGGCAAAGAAGUUAUUGGCUUCAGUUGUUCCUCAACUAGCGAAAUCCCCAUAGCUUGGACUAAUUGGUGACGUGCUUGCCUCAGUGGAGAUCAACUUCAGAUCUUCUUAAUUGAUCGUAUCUAUUGUUAUUGACAUCAAGUGACAAUUGCAAAUGGUUACUGCUAUUUCUUCACCAGUAAUAAUUGCAUAUGCUUUUUGAUUGUUUUACCAGUCAUUUUAAUUUAUGUGCACAUGGACAAUUAUCAGAGACUUAAGAAAAUAAUAUACACAAGUCCAAGAAAAAAGAAUUACAACUACUUGGUAGAAAUGAUAGAAGUUAUCUAAUGUGCAUAAUGUUAAGUUGGAAAUUGUUGUAGGAGCUGGUAGAGGUGAUUGAUUAAAUCCAGAAUCCUUUUUUUAUGCAUUAAACCAAACUGGAGAAGGAUAGGAUAUUUACAUGUUGCAGCUGCAGCUGUGAGGGUUAAGAUAUCACUUGCACUUGUGCUACUCAUGGCUGAACCUAUUACACUGCUGAUCUGUUCCUUCUUUGCUCCCAUUGCUUCUGCAACUUUUGCACACUGGGCUGCCACCAGAGCAGCUGCAGAAGCCACAGCUCCUUCCUUAGCAGUGCUCUCAUUCUUUCCAGAGCUUUCAGCCGCAAUGGCAGCAAGCGCUGCUGCCACACCUGCCAUAGAUAUAGCUGCAUGGACUUCAGCUCUUUGCAACCUGUGUUCCUCUUUCCGCCUUUCUUUAAUCUCCUUCAGCCACUUCUUGAUCGACAUGUUCUUGAAUGGCACUAUCUUCCAUGACAGCUGCAAUGUAAUAUAAUUCUUUGCUAAAGCAUUUUCUUUAUAAAAAAUUCAGCAGUGAAUACACACUAUCAUAUAUAGAGAAAGAUGUCGUGUAAUACAAAUUACUAACCCAUUUCUUUCGGAAAUAGCUGUUGUAGUUCAAUUCUGGAUGCAUGGCUUGUUGCAUCCAUAUCCAUGACUAAAGAAGAAAGACAAACAGAUUUUGGUUUACUUAUCAAUGAAAUAUCAUAAGCAAAUGAUGUUCUGUCACCAAAAAUGGCAGGUUGUCGA